CCUACGGGAGGCAGCAGUGAGGAAUAUUGGUCAAUGGACGAGAGUCUGAACCAGCCAAGUAGCGUGAAGGAUGACUGCCCUAUGGGUUGUAAACUUCUUUUAUAUGGGAAUAAAAUGUUCCACGUGUGGGAUUUUGUAUGUACCAUAUGAAUAAGGAUCGGCUAACUCCGUGCCAGCAGCCGCGGUAAUACGGAGGAUCCGAGCGUUAUCCGGAUUUAUUGGGUUUAAAGGGAGCGUAGGUGGAUUGUUAAGUCAGUUGUGAAAGUUUGGGGCUCAACCGUAAAAUUGCAGUUGAAACUGGCAGUCUUGAGUAAAGGAGAGGUGGGCGGAAUUCGUGGUGUAGCGGUGAAAUGCUUAGAUAUCACGAAGAACUCCGAUUGCGAAGGCAGUUCACUGGACUGCAACUGACACUGAGGCUCGAAAGUGUGGGUAUCAAACAGGAUUAGAUACCCUGGUAGUC
rnacentral:rRNA from 1 species